UUUUUUUUUGUAAUAUAGGAUUUUGCUAUUUUUAUAUAUAAAUAAACUUCAUCCUAUACCAAAUAGGAAAAUAAAAUAAAAAUAUGGGUUCAUUACUCAUUUAAGCUGACAAUCUUCCUUCGAAAGAAGCAUGCAUUUGUGUUUAGAUAAUUGAUAAUUAGAGAAAAAUAGGUAAUAUCGAUUAAACUAGAGGCUCUAAAGAGCCUGUGUCGCUCACCUUGGUCUAUGUGCAUAUUAAACAAAGGACACAGAUGGAUUCAUGACAAAAUUGUGUUUUGCUGAUAGUGAUGUGUUUGUAGAUCUUACUUUACUGAACAUUCUUGGUACUUAGAAUUUUCUCUAUCUAUAAUAAACUUGGACCUUUAGAUACAGUGAAAAAUAUUUUGUAAAAAUUUACAAAAAUUUACCAAAUUAGUGAAAAUUGUUAAAAAUUGAAUAAAAUGGGCAACAACUCCUUAAGGGGUCAACUGACGAUUUUGGUCAUGUUGACUUAUUUCUAGAUCUUACUUAGCUGAACAUUAUUGCUGUUUACAAGUUAUCUCUAUCUAUAACAAUAUUCAAGAUAAUAACCAAAAACAGCAAAAUUUCCUUAAAAUUACUAAUUCAGGGGCAGCAACCCAACAACAGGUUAUCCGAUUUAUCUGAAAAUUUCAGGGCAGAUAGAUCGUGACCUGUUACAUAAUUUUACCCCUUGUCAGAUUUGCUCUAAAUGCUUUGGUUUUUGAGUUAUAAGCCCAAAACUGCAUUUUACCCCUAUGUUCUAUUUUUAGCCAUGGCGGCCAUCUUGGAUGGUUGGCCGGGUCACCGGACACAUUUUUAAACAAGAUACCCCAAUGAUGAUUUUGGCCAAGUUUGGUGUAAUUUGGCCAAGUAGUUUCAGAGGAGAAGAUGUAAAAGAUUACUAAGAUUUACGAAAAAUGGUUAAAAAUUGACUAUUAAGGGCAAUAACUCCUAAAGGGGUCAACUGACCAUUUCGGUCAUGUUGACUUAUUUGUAAAUCUUUUUUUUGCUGAACAUUAUUGCUGUUUACAGUUUAUCUCUAUCUAUAAUAAUAUUCAAGAUAAUAACCAAAAACAGCAAAAUUUCAUUAAAAUUACUUAUUCUGGGCAGCAACCCAAAACCGGGUUGUCCAAUUCAUCUGAAAAUUUCAGGGCAGGUAGAUCUUGACCUGAUAAACAAAUUUACCUCUGUCAGAUUUACU
rnacentral:lncRNA from 1 species